GCUCCCGUGGUGAAAAGGAUAUCACACUUGGCUUCGGACCAAGAGUUUUGGGUUCAAGUCCUGACGGGAGCACCA
rnacentral:tRNA from 1 species